ACGGAAGGCAGCAGUGGGGAAUAUUGCACAAUGGGCGAAAGCCUGAUGCAGCGACGCCGCGUGAACGAAGAAGUAUUUCGGUAUGUAAAGUUCUAUCAGCAGGGAAGAUAAUGACGGUACCUGACUAAGAAGCACCGGCUAAAUACGUGCCAGCAGCCGCGGUAAUACGUAUGGUGCAAGCGUUAUCCGGAUUUACUGGGUGUAAAGGGAGCGUAGGCGGUAUGCUAAGUCUGAUGUGAAAGCCCGAGGCUCAACCUCGGUACUGCAUUGGAAACUGGUAAACUAGAGUGUCGGAGGGGUAAGUGGAAUUCCUAGUGUAGCGGUGAAAUGCGUAGAUAUUAGGAGGAACACCAGUGGCGAAGGCGGCUUACUGGACGAUAACUGACGCUGAGGCUCGAAAGCGUGGGGAGCAAACAGGAUUAGAUACCCUGGUA
rnacentral:rRNA from 1 species